rnacentral:rRNA from 1 species
AUUGAACGCUGGCGGCAGGCCUAACACAUGCAAGUCGAGCGGAUGAAGGGAGCUUGCUCCUGGAUUCAGCGGCGGACGGGUGAGUAAUGCCUAGGAAUCUGCCUGGUAGUGGGGGAUAACGUCCGGAAACGGGCGCUAAUACCGCAUACGUCCUGAGGGAGAAAGUGGGGGAGCUUCGGACCUCACGCUAUCAGAUGAGCCUAGGUCGGAUUAGCUAGUUGGUGGGGUAAAGGCCUACCAAGGCGACGAUCCGUAACUGGUCUGAGAGGAUGAUCAGUCACACUGGAACUGAGACACGGUCCAGACUCCUACGGGAGGCAGCAGUGGGGAAUAUUGGACAAUGGGCGAAAGCCUGAUCCAGCCAUGCCGCGUGUGUGAAGAAGGUCUUCGGAUUGUAAAGCACUUUUAGUUGGGAGGAAGGGCAGUAAGUUAAUACCUUGCUGUUUUGACGUUACCAACAGAAUAAGCACCGGCUAACUUCGUG